CUCUUUGCACGGGAAUGAGAGAGGCUUAGAUGCCAGGAAGGAUGCUGGCAUGACUUUUGUAUCCAGUUCUGUAGCUCACAGCUGUGGGAUGGUUGAAGAAAAUCGGCACUUUUUUCUUUCAGAAGCUGAUGUCAUUUCAGAGAGGCCAGAAUGUCAGAGCUGUCAAUUAAAUGAUGUCCAUGAAUUGUGAUGAAGCUCCUGUGAUUAAGAUCCUGUCCCCUAGAGGGAAAUGAGAGAGGCUUGGGAAAAUCUGGUAAUGUAUGUAAGUGUGGCG